rnacentral:tRNA from 1 species
GUCAGGAUGGCCGAGUGGUCUAAGGCGCCAGACUCAAGGUACGCACCUUGCCUACGGGCUUUCUGGUCUCCGGAUGGAGGCGUGGGUUCGAAUCCCACUUCUGACA